rnacentral:rRNA from 1 species
CCUACGGGAGGCUGCAGUGGGGAAUAUUGGGCAAUGGGCGCAAGCCUGACCCAGCAACGCCGCGUGAAGGAAGAAGGCUUGCGGGUGGGAAACUUCUUUUGGCAGGGAAGAGGAGAAGACGGUACCUGACGAAUAAGCCACGGCUAACUACGUGCCAGCAGCCGCGGUAAUACGGAGGUGGCAAGCGUUGUCCGGCUUUACUGGGUGGAAAGGGCGGGUAGCCGGGUGGACAAGUCAGAUGUGAAAUCCUGCGGCUUAACCGCAGAACUGCAUUUGCAACUGUGGAUCUUGAGUACUGGAGCGUCAGUCGGAAUUCCUCGUGUAGCGGUGAACUGCGUAGAUCUUCGGAG